rnacentral:lncRNA from 1 species
GAAAAUAUUGACAUAUUCAGAAGUCUUCCCAAAAAACCAAAAAAACAACAACAACAACAACAACAACAAAAAACUUCAGGGUUACUCAAGUUCAUCUGCAGCCACAUCCUUCCAAAAAUGCCUAUUUCUAUAAGAAGACCUACAUCUUAAGAAGGCAAUCAGUAUGGACUCUGUUGGAAUGUAAUGUGUCAAUUUGGUUUCAUGCCUCAUCACACUGGCAGACAGAAGAGGGUAAUGGCUGCUUUGGGGAGUGGAGGAAGCCAAAAAGAAGGCAAAGAGUGAAGACAGAGAAACAAGAUGUCAGUGGUGGUGCUGAGAAGGAAUAGAGAGACUUUUCUUCUUGUUAAGGGCCGCAGAGGGAGGAAUCCAGCUGAGGACUACACAGGGGCAUCUGGCUUCAGGAAUAACAGAUCAAAUGGUGACGAACUCCUUCAAAAUGGAGAGGGUCUCUAAGGUCUCUUCCAGCUGCAGAAUUCUCCUUUUCCGUGACUCAACCCAGAAUUCAACUGUAGAAAGUUGGGAAAAAUACUAUUCUCAAAGCUGACCACAUGGUGGCGCAGUGAAUCCUCCCAGAAACGAUACUCGGCUUCCCUGAGAGGCGAAUGAUGACACCCCAAAGCUGAAUUAUUCUAGGAGACGCCGCAUCAGUCUGCUAUGCUUCUGGUUCCUGGCGAGAGCAGAAACUUCAUAAUUUUCCUGGGCACAAAAAUGUGAUGAGAACUCUGUCAAGGCAAGCGACUUUAUUUCUCUUCUGGGCUUGCGACCGAAAGAAGCAGUUGAGUAUUGAACCACAUAUUUGAGGACUGCUUUCUUUUGUUCUCCUUAAAGCAAUGAAUGAAAAAACCACCACUAGUUUCCCAGGUGUCUCUAUUAUCAUUUUUCCUUCUUUCAUCACUUUUCCUUUAGCCUGUCAGCUGUCUCUUGGUCCUGCAUCCUCUCUAGUUCUGCCCUAAUUUUCCUCUUUUCCUUCUCAGCAAAGUUAUGCCUCAUGACUGUGAUUCACCCAUGCUUCAACUCACCACAGUUUGGAGCCUACGCUCAUUUCUAAAGGUCACAGAUGGACUUUGACUUGCCAAGCCCAAGGAUGCUUUCUUAGUCCUUAUCUUACACCCCAUCUUAAAACUCUCU